UUUUUUUUUUCUAUUGUCACCGACAUCGAACAUCUUUAAACACCCACUGUCAGCAAAAUAUCAAUCACCGUUCGAGAGUUAUUGGCAAAAUGGAGUGAAUGCGCGGUGAGAGAGCCGUUUCUGUCAAUGGACACCGUGGAGGUGCGAUGGAAAGUUAUUUAAGAUAAAUCAAAUGCGUUGUGUUAAUUGAGAGAAGGAGGCCUGGGGGAGCGAGGCGUCUGCGGUGCUGUGUCCAUGGCCAGAAUCCUCCUGGAGGGCACCUUGGCUGUGCCCACCAAAAUCUAAAAUGCAGGUGUUCCCUGCUGCCCUAGAGGUUCAGGAUCCGGCUUUGCCACCGCGGUGGCUUGGGCUCGAGUCCUGGCCCGGGAGCUUCCGCAUGCCACGGGCAUGGCCAAAAAAUAAAAAAUAAAUAAACCUGCAACGCCCCCCCGACAUACAUUCCACUAGCAUCCAUAAGGAUGAGAGUUCGAUCCCUGGCCCUUCGCAGUGGAUUAAGGAUCUGGCCUUGCCGUGAGCUAUGGUGUGGGUUGAAGAUGAGGCUCGGAUCCUGUGUUGCUGUGAUUCAUGGAAAGAUCGGAGCACAUGUAUUUAUUACACCUCUGCAGGGUCCUUGGAAACAUGAACCACCAGACACCACCUAAGUCCCACGCAACGACCCCCAGUACGUCUCAGUAUGAAAUCACGGUGCGGCCACUAAAAAGGUACCUACAUCCACAGCGGGGUUUCCCAGCCUGGGCACGAUGGGCGUUUUGAGCCAGAGGACCCCCUGGGGUGGAGACGGUGCCUGUAGGGUGUUGAGCAGCAUCCUUGGCCUCUACCCAUGAGAUGCCAGCAGCGCCACCACUGCCAGGUUGCGACAACCAAAAAUGUCUCCAGACGUUGCCCAACGUCCCUCCGGGGCAGAACUGUGUGGCUGGUCUAUAGGUGUGAUCAUGGGUGGAUGUGUGUAAUUACUGCCGAGCAGAAAUACUGAAAUAGGAACUGUGUAUGUAAUAGGGACCCAUUUUUACAGCAAAAGCGAGGCUAAAAAUCAAAUCGCUCAUGAGGGUUACUUCUGGAGGGAGGCGUCUCUCCUUUUCACUUCUUUGUAUUUCGAUGCUCUUUGCACUGGAGUUCCCUGGUGGCUCAGUGGGUUAAGGAUCUGGUGUCACUGCUGCGGGGCCUGAAUUUGAUCCCUGGCCCCGGAAAUUCCACAUGCCGUGGGUGCUGCCAAAACAUACAUAUAUAUGCUGUUUGCAUUUUUACAACAAGCGUUGACAGCUUUAACUUAAGCCAUCUUAAUUAACAUACCAAAGAGGCUCGGGCACACGUGCAUGUGUGCGUGUGUUUCCCAGUGAGGCUGACAAUGCGACUCGCGGUUGCCCUCGCCACUCAGGAGUCACCGGGUGCUCCUUGGAAACAGCAGAUGUUUCUCUCAGUUACCGAUUUUCAAGAGUCUGGUGUUUCCCAACAUGAGCGCAGAGGGCAGCGCCAGGAGGGGAGGUGCACGGGGCUCCGUUUCCAAGACUCUCAGACAAAAAGCUCCGCGCUGAAUGGGCCCACAAUGAGGCGGCAUUGAACCUCUUGUCAAUUCCUCCUCCAUCAGCCCCGCCGCGUGCUGGAGGGCCUGGGGUCGCUCGAGACCAGACGGUGGGGAGGGGUCUCGGCGCUGGCUGGGGGUGCUGUCCUGAGUCUCACCCAGGGCAGAGGUGGGGCCACGCACUGAGCGCCAAGGUCAGACGUCCGUCCGGAGACCCUGGAGAAGGGGUGAGUGCUGGACAAGGUCCCCUGCACCCUUGGGCUCCCGGGACCUGAAUUUGAUUCUGCAAACACCGGCACAGGGUGGUGCGAUGGGGAGCAGGAGCCCUGGGGCUGGCCUGGUGGUGCCCAACCCCAGCUCGACCUGUGGCCCAGCGUGGGACCCAAGGAAGUUCCUUCAGCCUCUGCGCCUCAGUUCCCCCGGCGAGGAGGCGGCCACCAGGGGACCAAGAGGGCCAACGAACGCGGCCAGGUGAACGCAUAGCAGGUGUCGGGUACAUGUCAUGUGGCCCAUCAGCUGUCAUUCACAAGAGCUACUUGCUCGGCCCAACGCCAGCUCUCCUGGGCCCCCAGCCUCCUCCUUUCAUUGCUAACUGCUUCCUGGUGGCCUGCACGGUCCUCUCAGCCCGGCGGCGGGCUGCCUGCCCUGCCAGCAGAACCUCUGCCCAAACUGGUCACCUCCUGGGAGGUCCGCUCGACUCUCCCUCCCCAGUUCCCAGCUCCUGCGGGCACUUCCUUCUCCGGCUUCCUCUGGCGGUUUGAAGCUCUCGCGUAUACCUAGCGGUUAAUUUUGUAAAUACCACACAGACUCUCUGCUAUGACCGCCAAGAAAAUGUAUGUAUCAUCGUUUAGCCUUCCUUUUGUCUGCAUCUUAUUGCCACUGCUAGUCUGUCUACUCCAUCAGGAUGCUGUCUCCUUGUCCUGCAAGUUCCUCACAACCAGCACAAGACUGGCAAGCAGGAGCCCUUCUGCCCAGUCUGUGGUAGACUCCUGUUCAACCCUCAAAACCCAACUGUGGUUGCCCCGGAGCAACUUUUACAUCCUAUUAUGGCAUCAAGCCUAGCUCCAAAGACGAGGGUAUCCCCUUUACCGGACUCUCCUUGCUGUCUGGCCCACCAUGAGCUAGGUGGUCACACCCAAUCAGCUAAGCACUAGGGAGCCUAGAACCUCCAGAGCAGUGCAGGGGCUCAAGGUGUAGACCUGGAUGUGACACACACCUCUCUGGGCUCGAGUCCCCUCCAGAUGAACACCAUGGCCAAACAGCGCCUCGCUCACGGAACCAACAUGAGAUUCCAUGGAAGAAUGGCUCUCACGGCACCAGGCUCACAGCAAACCCUAAAGUGAUAGUUACAAUAGGAGCUGGUACUAAUAGAUCAACUUAAAGUUCUCACCUCCUUCCCAAUUCCUCCCCUUGGGGCAGAAAGGGUCCCUUGUGUUAUGCGCGGAAUAUUUACUUCCCCCAAAUUAGCAUGUUCAAGCCCUAACUGCCGCAAGCAUGGCUGUAUUUGGAGAUGGGGUCUCUAAAUAAACGGUGGUCAUAAGUGUGGGGCCCUGACCCUACGGGAUUAGUGUCUUUAUAAGCAGAAACACCAGAGAGCUCAUUUUCUCUCUCUGCACACACACCAAGGAAAGGCCACACAGGCCACAGCAAGAAGGCAGCCGUCUGCCAGCCAGGUAAAGAGCCCUCACCAGAACCCGAUCUGCCAGCACCUUGAACUUGGACCUGCACACACUAACACACCUUGAAUGGUAAGGGCUGAUGUUGGGAAGGAGGCUGCAAGCCGUGGAGGCAGGGAACCUGCCCCCGGGUGGAAUGGGGGUUGGGGGGCGCACUACGGAAACACAAGUGCACCCGUGGGGACAGAGGGACAGCCAGCAGCCAUCUCUGCCGCUGCCCAGGGCAUGUGUGACGUUAUUCACCACGAGGGAUGUUCUGUCUACAUCCAACCUCAGGGGCUUUUUGGUCCCACUCACUCUCCCCAGUGGCACCCAUGUGCUGCGCACCUACUGUGUGUCAGGCCCUGUGCCAAGCCCUGGAGAUGCAUGGCUUCCCAGGGGGCUACAUAAAUCCUACACUCCACGGCAACAGGAUUCCAAUCUGUGCCCCCAGGAACCUGCUGGAUUUAUUUCUGGGACAGAUGAUCAAUGGUCUAGAUGCCCAAGGCUGUCCUAUCAAUGACCAUCCAACAGGUGCCUCCCCUCCCAGGUUCCUGGGGUCCAAGUUUUCAUCUCACGGAGCUUUCCUAGCAGCUUCCUGGGGGGGGCGGGAUGUCUUAGUUCAAUGGUCCCCCUGUUCUAGGGACAGGGAUCUGAGGCCCGGGGAGGGAAAUGGCACGCCCAUGCUCACGCAGGUGCCACACGGGGCCUGGCGACCUAACUGCCAUCCUCUCUCGACAAGAAACUCGACAAAAGCCACAAUCACACACAGGGCCACCUUCGGCAGUGCCAGCCGGAAGCAGUAGUGGUUCUCUCACUCUCUCUCACCCCCUCUCUUCCCAUAGAAUGAGCAGCAGCUGGCAAAGGCCGAGUCAUCAGGAGCCAGACUGGGCGGCAAGGGGACACAGUGCCAACUUGCCAGCCAGGGAGGUGGGGCGGCCCACUGCUUGAUGGAGGACUCAGGGUCUUCCCCCCCUGCCCGGGUGACCUGGCCCAGGAAUUCCCUGUCCCUAACUGGGAAUUUACAGAUUUGUGUGGGGGAGGCUCCAGGAAAGGAGGCUGGACACACGGACCGUCGGCCACUGCGCAGACCCUCUGCCUGGGGAAGGAACCAAGGUUGGGAGAAGCCCCAGUGGGGAAAUGACGUCACCCCUGCAGGACGCCCCCCAACCGAUGGGAGCCCUAACAUGUGUCUCUGACAUUCUCAAGGCCUCAGAGCCCAGGUCUGUCUGAGGGCGUCUGUGUGUCUGUCUCCCAUCCUUGCAUACGUAUGUCCUUCUCUUUCAGGCUGUUUGUCUUCCUGGGUGUCGUGUGUGUGUGUGUGUGUGUGUGUGUGUGUGUUGUGUGUGUGUGUGUGUGUGCGUGCGUGUGUCUGGGGUCUAAAUCUGUCCAGACUCUUAUGAGUCCCUUCCGCUUUCCUUUUCAGGCGACAGGCAAAACAAAUUCCCAGAGGGCAGUUACAAGCCUCCCAGACCAGACGCCAGACGCCUCUCCCAGUCCCCACCCCGCGGGCGAGGCUAUUCCAGCCCGUGGUAUCAUUUCCUCUUGAACAUCGUCCAGCAGCCCGAACUCCCCAACAAUGGCCAAGGCCAAGGUUCUGUUCCCUGAGGAAAGCAGCAGCCCGGGAGGCAGACACAGCGAGCGGCGGGGGGCAGGGGGGCCGGCUCUGCAUUCGAGUCCAGAUGCCGCCACUUCCUGCGUGUGGGACCCUGGGCGGUCCCCUGGGACCCCGGCCUUCGUUUCCCCCUCGUGAAGCCCGGGGCCAUCACUGAAUCGCCUCCCAGGAUCACUGAGGGUCCACCGCGGAGGCAAUGUGUACUAGCUCUCCCACCCCUAGCAGCAGGUACACAGCAAGUGCCUAAUAAACGGGGGCCAUCGUGAGACUGGAAGCAGGUGUGAGGGACGCGAGGGCGUCUGUGCACAGUCGUUAAGGAUCCAGAGUGGGUGGUGCUGAGCAGGUACAUUCAAUUUAUAGGAUAACAACUGGGAGGCAAGGAAAAGGCAGGCGAGAUGGAGAAACAGGAAAACCCUCGGGAGAGACCCACACGGGCCACAAGGUCCUGGGGCAAGGCUUAGAGGGGGGCCGGCUGGGGUCCUCUCCCGCCCUUGCGGCUCAUUGGAUGCAGAUCCAGCCUACACUGGGAUCAGGACAGAACCCACCUCCCACAAGGGGAGCCGGUGGGGGGUCUUCCCAGGUGGAGGCCGGGCAUCUUAGGGGUCCCUCCUCAAAAGCAAAAGGGGUGCCUGCGUGUGCUCCCUCGUCUCCCAGCUUCCUCUGAUGCACUGACGUCCCACCAGCCUCGUCUGCACCCCUCAGUCGGAGCAAUUUUUAAGAAACCCCAAUUGGAUCCCUGACUCACGCUCAGAUUAAAGCCGGAUGGGGCCCGAUCAACCUCAUCUCUGCACCUGUCGUCUCCUUCUCAUGCUCAUCACACUCCAGCCACGCUGGCCUUUUUCCUGUUCCUACCCCAGGACCUUUGCAUGUGCCAUCUUGUCAUGGGACGUUCCGUGUUCCCACCUCAGGGAGGCCUCCUGGUCACCCCAUGCCAAAGGUACUCACUCUCACCGAGCUGCAAAUGUCCCGAUGGCCUGUCUAGGCCACAAGGGGCAACGCGGUGUAGAGUUAGGAGGCUGGACUCUCUGCGCUGCCCUAUGACUCUGCGCCUGCUUCUUCAUCCGUACCCUGGGGUCAAAGGAGAGGCCUCCUCACCGGCCUGCUUGAGGAUUAUAAAAUACCUGGAGGGUGCCUGGCACAGGGGCGAGCAGCCUGGCAGUUUAUUGCUGAUUUCCCCUCAGCAGCAAGAAAGGUGCAUGCGAAGGCCCUUGUUUGUCUUGUUCUCGCCGAAUCCCUGGUGGCUAACACCGUGCUUGGCACAACAACAUGCUGCCCUCAAUCAGUAUUUGAAGGAGGAAGGAAUUCACCGCCAAGGUCCACUCGCUGCGAUGCCCAUCUCUCCCCAGAGGCCGGAGGAUGGAUGGGUGUGGAUGACACGGGGGAGGUCUUUCACAAAACUAAAUUUGCCACUACCAUCCGACCC
rnacentral:lncRNA from 1 species